AAUCAAUAGUUCUUUAAUUGGGAACUGGAAUGAAUGAUUUGACGAGACAUUGACUAUUUCAUUGGAAUACGUUGAAUUUAACUUUUUAGUCAAAAGGCUAAAAUGAUGAUGGGGGACGAGAAGACCCUAUARAGCUUUAUUAGUUUGGAUUGGUAUGUAGUUUGGUGUAUGACUUAUGUAUUGGUUAGGAUUAAUUUCGUUGGGGUGAUGAGUAGAUAAGGGAAACUCUAUGUGUAAGGACAGUAAUGAUUGGUUGAGUGAUUCUGUAUUAUAAAUUGAAGAGAAGCUACCUUAGGGAUAACAGCGUUAUUUUUCUUGAGAGUUCUUAUUGAUAGAGAAGAUUGCGACCUCGAUGUUGGAUUAAGAUAAUUCUUGGGUGUAGAAGCUUAAGAGGUAGGUCUGUUCGACCAUUAAAUU
rnacentral:rRNA from 1 species